GCCACGGUGACUAGCAAGCAACUUACUGUACUAUGGUACUGAACUAUCUGAAUUUCUAAUUCAUCUACGAAAGUAUUCUGGGUACAGUCAAGUACUUGCGAAGUCGGUGUGUGAGUCAAGAAGGGAUUGACCCCUCCUGGUGAUAGGAGAUGAUGCUCUUAUGUUCAAUUUAGCAAAACCUUGGGCAGGAUAAUCCUUGUGAGGAGUCACAGGAUUUGUAAAGUUAAAACACAUUUUGGAUGAACUGAUUAAAGAGUUGACAGCGAACUCUGAAGUCAUCCUAUGCAUUCGGAGUCAUGGUGAUGAAUUAUAUGGUAACCAUACUCC
rnacentral:lncRNA from 1 species